rnacentral:rRNA from 1 species
UACGUAGGGGGCAAGCGUUGUCCGGAAUCAUUGGGCGUAAAGAGCGCGUAGGCGGCCCAGUCAGUCCGCUCUGAAAGUCAGGGGCUCAACCCCUGAAUGCGGGUGGAUACUGCUGGGCUAGAGUCCGGAAGAGGCGAGUGGAAUUCCUGGUGUAGCGGUGAAAUGCGCAGAUAUCAGGAGGAACACCGAUGGCGAAGGCAGCUCGCUGGGACGGUACUGACGCUGAGGAGCGAAAGCGUGGGGAGCGAACAGG